rnacentral:lncRNA from 1 species
UUUUCAAUUUUAAAUACAAAUCUCUUUGGCAAUGUGUUAUGUCUUUUUUUUCUUCUUAAAAUCGAUUUAUAAUGAUUAUUUGAUGUUGCGGAAUUGAACAUGUAGGACAGCAAACUAUGUAUAAUACUUUUAAUACCAAAUCUUUGGUACGGCAUCAUUAAAAUGAAAAGCUUACGUAAUUGUACGUUAAUCCGAUUUUUCCUCCAAUUUUUAAAUAAAAAAUGUAUCGUUAUAAAUGUUCUUUAAUAUUCCAAUGUCAAUGCCACGUCAUAUGAAGUCCUGGAUCAAACCAGGUGAAGAUGACUGAUCGAAGCAGUGGGCCCUGUAAUAAUAUCGGAAUAAAGCCAGGAAUAUGCUUCUUUAUGGAGCUGCAAUAUAAAAAACUAAACAAAAACUUCUCUUAUCCAACACAGAACA